GAACGAUAUAGUGGCAGACGGGUGAGUAACGCGUGGGAACGUACCUUUCACUACGGAAUAGCUCUUGGAAACGAGUGGUAAUACCGUAUACGCCCUCCGGGGGAAAGAUUUAUCGGUGAAAGAUCGGCCCGCGUUAGAUUAGCUAGUUGGUAGGGUAAUGGCCUACCAAGGCGACNANNNNAUAGCUGGUCUGAGAGGAUGAUCAGCCACACUGGGACUGAGACACGGCCCAGACUCCUACGGGAGGCAGCAGUGGGGAAUCUUGCACAAUGGGCGAAAGCCUGAUGCAGCCAUGCCGCGUGAAUGAUGAAGGCCUUAGGGUUGUAAAAUUCUUUCGCUAGGGAUGAUAAUGACAGUACCUAGUAAAGAAGCCCCGGCUAACUUCGUGCCAGCAGCCGCGGUAAUACGAAGGGGGCUAGCGUUGUUCGGAAUUACUGGGCGUAAAGCGCACGUAGGCGGACUUUUAAGUCAGGUGUGAAAUCCCAGGGCUCAACCCUGGAACUGCAUUUGAAACUGGAAGUCUAGAGACCAGGAGAGGUUAGCGGAAUACCGAGUGUAGAGGUGAAAUUCGUAGAUAUUCGGUGGAACACCAGUGGCGAAGGCGGCUAACUGGACUGGUACUGACGCUGAGGUGCGAAAGUGUGGGGAGCAAACAGGAUUAGAUACCCUGGUAGUCCACACCGUAAACGAUGAGAGC
rnacentral:rRNA from 1 species